UGGGGAAUUUUGGACAAUGGGCGCAAGCCUGAUCCAGCCAUGCCGCGUGCAGGAAGAAGGCCUUCGGGUUGUAAACUGCUUUUGUCAGGGAAGAAAUCCUUUGGGUUAAUACCUCGAAGGGAUGACGGUACCUGAAGAAUAAGCACCGGCUAACUACGUGCCAGCAGCCGCGGUAAUACGUAGGGUGCGAGCGUUAAUCGGAAUUACUGGGCGUAAAGCGUGCGCAGGCGGCUUUGCAAGACAGAUGUGAAAUCCCCGGGCUCAACCUGGGAACUGCAUUUGUGACUGCAAGGCUAGAGUGCGGCAGAGGGAGAUGGAAUUCCGCGUGUAGCAGUGAAAUGCGUAGAUAUGCGGAGGAACACCGAUGGCGAAGGCAAUCUCCUGGGCCUGCACUGACGCUCAUGCACGAAAGCGUGGGGAGCAAACNGGAUUAGAUACCCUGGUAGUCCACGCCCUAAAANGAUGUCAACUGGGUUGUUGGACGGCUUGCUGUUCAGUAACGAAGCUAACGCGUGAAGUUGACCGCCUGGGGAGUANGGCCCAAGGUUGAAACUCAAAUGA
rnacentral:rRNA from 1 species